rnacentral:misc_RNA from 1 species
GGAUUCCCAUUUGGAAUUCCUUUUGAUUAUUUUCUUUUGUCUUUGAAUAUUGUAUUAAGCAAUUCUUUUCCAGAAUUUGUAGUAUUCAAUACAAAUAAAGCUCUCAUUUCUUAAUUUUUCACUUCAAAUUCCUAACUCUAUCAGUGAACAAAUUUAAAAGAAAAUAGAUCUUGUCAAAACAGUGGAAUAAGAUCAUAGCGUGAAACAACCAUAGAAACUGUGCAGAACAAAGGCAACUAACAUAUGCAAGAAACA